GAUUGAGCACCUGGGGAUGAUUCCCUUCAACAAGAAGGCCUUGUAUAUGUAUCAAUAGGCACAGAGAAGCUCCACCGUCUUCUGUUCCCUAGCCAACUGGAGUGACAGGAAAAAUUCAUGGUAAAGAGGAUCCAAUUCCAAUUUUCAAUUGCUACUUAGAACAUAUGACAAUAAUACGUUUAGGGAGCCUUAACAAGCUACACAAUUUUGGACUA
rnacentral:misc_RNA from 1 species